GUUAGCUCAGACCAAACAAAAAUUUUUUUAGAAAUCACAAUACUUUGUAUCAACUAUAUGUAACUGCAGUCGAUUCUAAAUCCCGCUAAAUCAAAUAGUACAAAGAGUGAUAAGUUGGUUGAUAUAAAUUGCGAGCGUUAGCGAGCAAGAAAAUUUUUUUUAAGAAACAAAUUUUAACCAAUCUAAGGCUUUAUAAAAAAAAUUAUUUCGUACAAUUUAAUAUAUAAAACAUUGAAAAAUGUACUUUUUCUUGCACUGAAAUUUUGUAGCAGAAAAUUGACAGGUACAUUCUAUCUAUUGAGUUCUAAAUGAAAUUAGCAAUACUUAAAAACCAAAAUUUUAAAUAAUCCAAGUUGUUUGACAUGAGCUAAUUACACUGGUCAACAAGGUUUUUGUUACAGAAACCAGGGUAUAGGCUGAGCUCGAAUCCGAGAAAUUCGAGUCAGAAAAAUUCUAUCACAUCACGUUUUGGAGAUAUUCCCGUUAGAAAAUUGAAAAUGCCGAUUUUUACCAGUUUUCAAAGUUAUUUUUUAGCGUUUACUUAUUUUUUUUUUAAAUUAAAUUUGUAACAGUUUCUAAAAGAAUUGUGUCAAAAUUUGAAAGCGAUUGGUACAGAACUUUUCGAUAUUUGCAAUUAAAAUCAAAUAAAUAUGAGAUGCCCCAAGCACUUUGAUUUCAAGUUAUGAUUUCCCGAGGAAGAAAAUAGAUAUUUAAAAGAUUUAAACGGAUUUAGAGAGACAAAACUUAAUUCUUUUAGAAACUGUUACAAAUUCAAUUUAAAAAGAAAUAAGUAAACGCUAAAAAAUAACCCUGAAAACUGGUAAAAAGCGGCAUUUUCGAUAUUCUAACGGGAAUAUCUCAAAAACUUGAUGUGAUCGAAUUUUUCUGACUUCGGUUUCGAGCUCAGCACACAAAAAAAAAAAAACCUAUAGAAGAGUAUACCCUGGUUUCUGUAACAAAAAAGAA